CAGUCUCGAUCUGCUGAGGACAAAUAAAGUGAAUAUGCGAGUCAAUCGCACCCGCGGUUACAAUUUUUCCUUCUCCAGCAAUAACCUCCGUGCUUGCACCAACAAUCAUAUUGGGGUGCACGCCAUCCAUAAUAUCGGGAUUGCCGGCUUUGCCAAUGCCAACAAUAAAUCCAUCCUUAAUGCCAAUAUCCGCUUUCACAAUGCCUGAAUGAUCAAUAAUAACGGCAUUUGUAAUGAGCGUAUCCAAUACGCCUUCAUCGCGCAGAGCGCCGCUUGAUUGCCCCAUCCCAUCGCGUAU
rnacentral:sRNA from 1 species